rnacentral:rRNA from 1 species
CAUCAGCCGCGGUAACACGGAGGGUGCAAGCGUUAAUCGGAAUUACUGGGCGUAAAGCGCACGCAGGCGGUCUGACAAGUCAGAUGUGAAAUCCCCGGGCUUAACCUGGGAACUGCAUUUGAAACUGUCAGGCUGGAGUCUUGUAGAGGGGGGUGGAAUUCCAGGUGUAGCGGUGAAAUGCGUAGAGAUCUGGAGGAAUACCGGUGGCGAAGGCGGCCCCCUGGACAAAGACUGACGCUCAGGUGCGAAAGCGUGGGGAGCAAACAGGAUUAGAUACCCCUGUAGUCCCUGUCUCUUAUAC